AGGAAAUCAAAAGGAAAUCUCCCAGUCACAUCUAGCAGUCUGGCCAUUUAAUGCAUUACUCGUCCUUUCAUGUCCCAAUAACCACGCCUUUGCAGAUAGAAAUUCCCAAAAAAUAUCAAAAACUUUGCUACCCUUAACCAUUCCCUUUUCCUUUCCCGUUCAUCUUUAAUCCGGAGAUUCUCUCCAUCUUCCCUCUAGGUCUGCUGCUCUGUGGAUCGUCAUUUCCCCUACCAGGGCUUUUGCUGCGAACGGGGUGGGUAUAUCCUCAUGUAUAACUGACUUUGAGGCUUUUAAAAUGCCCGUCUGGUCUCAAACGACUAUACUUGAGGCCAAUCUAGCAUUUUUUCUGUCAAAAGCGGUAUCAAACUGAACUAUGAUGCCCUCCGUCGCCCUAGUAUGACCGUUGGCACUUUUGGUAGAAAAUCUGAUUUCGGGAACUCCAUAUGCACCAUAACGCACAACAAAAGGACCGACAUUACUCCAUUGUACUCAUUUCAAAAACCCAGGACAAAGUCUAAAGAUAUGGCUACUGUCUUCCUCUUCGAGUCUACACCGAGAACACCGAACAUUGUCUGUUACUUUCUUGAAUCUUAGAUUUACUAAGGAAGGAAUGUAGUUCCAGGAGAUUCGCCAAACUAGUAUCUUAAUUUUACCUGGUAGCUAUAAAUCCCAUAGUUUUCUAUAGAAGUUUUUUGUUUUGGGCUGUAAUAAAUAAAUAUUAGGAUUCAAGCUAGAAUAGUGUAAUAGUUUAUAGGCGCUUCUUACUGAGAACUCCCCUGAAUGUUCCUCUUUCCACACUUGAAAGUCUGCAUGUUCUAUCAGGUUCCUCUUUCUACACCUGAAAGUCUGCAUGUUCUAUCUCUGCUAAAGGAAUCUUCAAAAUUUUUUGCGCUA